ACCUUUCUUUAACCUACAUGGUAACUAUAUGUUUUCCAAAAUCUGUAUAAUCAAUUUAUCUAAAAAUUACAUUAGAAAUUAGGAGACACUAAUUUUUAAAUCUAGAACUUAUCUCGACAUGCAAUUUUGAAACUGUCAGGAAUGAAGAGACAAAUUGCUUAUUACACUUCCGCUGGAGAACAACGAACAGCCCUGGGAUGGUACCCAGAGGGCCAUCAGCCCCACAGAUCCCACAAGGGGCAAGAGGAGCAACCCAGCACUGUCAGUCUCUGCUCCAUCCAGGAUCCAGUGAGCCAGUGACAAGGCAGGGUUGGCAACAAGAAGAUCAUCACUAACCACAAAGACCCUGGCAAAGGGAAGCUGCUCAUGAAACACAAACUGGAUAUGACAGCUUAUUACAAUUCCUGUCCAUGAGUUCAUGUCCAAAUUCACACUAUCCCUGGCAAAUCUACACUACCACACUUUUACUAAAAGCAGGGACAGGACAAAGGAACAAUUUCUUGCACACAAAUGCAUUCUGGAGGUCAGUUAAUUUAGGACAAUUAAGUACUAUUUAAAUGAAAGAAAAUCUAUAUUUAGUGGGGAAAAAAAACUCCACAUUUUUCACUGAGCAUGUGUGUCCAGUAUCUUCAUCAAGGAGAAUAUUUUAGGCAUUUGACAUGUAAGUAUUUUGAAGAGAUUUUUGAACCUCACUGACCUGUUACCUUACUUCUCAGAUGAUAAAGUAUUGUACUGUGGAAUCGAACAUUUAGUACUAUUUUUAAAAGGCUGAAAUAGCCAUCAUUUCCUUCCACCUUUUCUGUUGAUCAGCAAACAAUCAACAGAGACCAAAAUCUGAAAGAACAAUUAUAUUUUAGAAGUUUCCAGUACAGUCCAAGUCCCAAAUUUCCUGUGUUUAAUCCUCCCGUGAGACAAAUAACCACAAAAUGUUUAAGGAGGCAGGCAGAGUACUCUGGUUAUUUUUAAUAGAUCUGCCCAACGACUUUUCUUAUGAGAGUAAAGGGUGCUAAACGAAGCCUAAAGACCACGAAAUAUUUAGAAGUAAAAGCACCUACUUACUGUCUGCAACUUACUCUCAAAUGGUUCAGAAAAAAAAGUAGUAAGAAAGAAAAAAAUGAUAAAGCAAAUGUGGCACAGUGUUAACACUGGUGAUUACAGGUCUACUCCAACUUUAAGUUUGAAAUUGUUUCAAAAUAAAAUGUUAAAGAACAAGUAUCAGCAGGAUUAUUACAUAAAAGGAUUAUUUAAGAUAUGAACUACUUCCUACACCUACACACAUGCUCCACCCCUCCUUCCCUCUGGUUUCCAAACAACCUCCGUCCUUUCCUAGUCAAGAUCCUAGGAAAAGUAGUCUCUCACCUCCUACUCCUGGCUCCAAAUAGCCUCAAAACAUGGCUUCUGUCUCCCUCCCUCAAUUAAAACUGUUCUCACCAGAGUCAUCAAUGACUUCCUACUUCCCAAAUCCAUCAGCACAUUCCAGCUCUAACAGUCUUCCACCCUUCCUGGCAGAAAUGCGGACUCCACUCCUGCUUCUCUGCUCAGUCUCUCCAUGCAGUCUCUUCCCCUAACCCUUACAUUUUGCCCCAGUUCCUGUCAGCCUUCCAGUGCACUGCCUUGAGAAGAUUCUGAGGAUCCCACAGGCUCCGUGGGAAACAGCAGUAAUGGUUUAGUAAUGUCUGCAUGGGUGGAGAGUGGGAGGCAGAAGAGCAGGGCGGCAGCAUGGCUCUACCUGGAACUUGACUUCCUUCUCUAAAGGCUCUCCUUCAUGGGUAAACUCAUCUCCUCCUUUAAUUCCAACUAUUUCUAAUACCCACCAAAAUCUACCUUUUAAGGGACACUCCUCCACUGACUUCCAGACCUACAGUGCCAACCACCCACAAGCAGUUCCAUUUACUGUUCCACAGAUGUGAACUCUUCUGCCACCAAAACAUGCUCUUCUUUCCAUAAUCCCAAACUGAGUUAAUGGCACCACUGAUCACCCUGAAGCCAAACCACAAAUACUAAAAAUUUCCCUGAUCUCUACUGUUCCCUCAUCCCAUAUAUCCAAAUCUAUUUGGAAGCUCCUCUCAUUUCCAUCACUGCUUCCACCACCUUGAUUUAAGUCCUCAUCAUCUGUCGCCCGGACUAUUCAAUAUCCUAGCAUCUCUACCUCUCGCCUCCUCCACCCCUACAUCCAUUCUCCACGUUGCUUUCUUAGGAUUACCUUUUCAAAAUACAAAUCUAAUUUCAUUUGCAAAAAAUUUUAAAACAAAAAUUCAGUCAUGCACUGCGUAACGUUUUGGUCAACAGACUGCAUCAAUGACAGUAGUCCCUUGAGCUUAUGAUGGAGCUGAAAAACUGCUAUCACCUAGUGACAUCAUAAUGUAGUGCAACACAUCACUCCUGUGUUUGUGAUGAUGCUGGUGUAAACAAACCUACUGUGCUGCCAGUCAAACAGUUAUAGCCAGACACAGUGGCUCACAACUGUAAUCCCAGAACUUUGGGAAGCCAAGAUGGGUGGAUCACUUGAGGUCAGGAGUUCAACACCAGCCAGACCAACAUGGUGAAACCCCUUAUCUACUCAAAAUACAAAAAUUAGCUGGGCGUGAUGGCGCACACCCAUAAUCCCAGCUACUUGGGAGGCUGAGGCAGGAGAAUAGCUUGAACCCGGGGGGCAGAGGUUGCAGUGAGCCAAGAUCACGCACUGCACUCCAGCCUGGAUGGCAGAGCAAGACUCCGUCUCCAAAAAAAAAAAAAAAAGCCAAAAAACAGUUAACUGUGAAACAGCCUCAGGCAGGGCCUGCAGGAGGUACCAGAAGAAGGCCUUGCUAUCAUGGGAGAUAACAGCUCCAUGAGUGCUGUCACCUCUAAAGCCCUUCAAGUGUGUUGGAAAUGGGUAUUCAAUGUCGCAGAAAUCAACCCUAAGACAAAGGAUCUCUCAGCAAGGCUAAUUUACUUUCUGCAGAAAGGGUGCUACUCGCUAGCAGUUUUGCCAGAGAGCACACACAAAAGAGACAGGGUCAUUUAUAGUCUGACACGUCCACCCUAUGGCUGUGUCCAGUUUCCAUUGGCUGGAAUGGGACCUCACAUUCUGUACUUGUCCUGAUUGGCUAGCAACUUAGAACAUCCCAAAAGAGACAUACAUAGAGGAGAACAAAGGAAAGGAGGAAGUAACUUGUGGAAUGCUGAGAAAGGCAAAAACACCUCCAAAUAAGGAAGAGGAACAGGCUAUGACCUAAUGCUUUCUUGGGCCUGUACAGACUGCGAGGAAAGUCCCUUUGAAGAGGAACCUCUACUUCAUUUUCUACAGAGUGGGACAGAGGUGCUGGUGGAAGACAGUGAUAUUGAUGAUCCUGACCCUGUGUAGGCCUGGCUAAUGUGUGUGUUUGUGUCUUGUUUUUAACAAAAAAGUUUAAAAAGACAAUAAAAAUUUUAAACCAGAAAA